rnacentral:tRNA from 1 species
GCGUUUUUAGUAUAUUAGUACAUUUACCUUCCAAGUAAGAAGAUUAUUUAACAUAAAAAACACA